GUUCUUAUUUCAAAACCACAUAUACUAAAUUUGGAAUGAUACACAGAAGAUUAGAAUGGCCCCUGUGCAAGAAUAACACACAAACUCAUGAAGCGUUCCAUAUUUUU